UACGUAGGGUGCGAGCGUUGUCCGGAAUUAUUGGGCGUAAAGAGCUCGUAGGCGGUUUGUCGCGUCGACUGUGAAAACCCGAGGCUUAACCUCGGGCCUGCAGUCGAUACGGGCAGACUAGAGUUCGGUAGGGGAGACUGGAAUUCCUGGUGUAGCGGUGAAAUGCGCAGAUAUCAGGAGGAACACCGGUGGCGAAGGCGGGUCUCUGGACAGUUCCUGACGCUGAGGCACGAAAGCUAGGGUAGCAAACGGG
rnacentral:rRNA from 1 species